GACGAACGCUGGCGGCGUGCUUAACACAUGCAAGUCGAACGGAAAGGCCCUGCUUUUGUGGGGUGCUCGAGUGGCGAACGUGUGAUUAAUACGUGAGUAACCUGCCCUUGACUUUGGGAUAACUUCAGGAAACUGGGGCUAAUACCGGAUAGGAGCUCCUGCUGCAUGGUGGGGGUUGUAAAGUUUCGGCGGUUGGGGAUGGACUCGCGGCUUAUCAGCUUGUUGGUGGGGUAGUGGCUUACCAAGGCUUUGACGGGUAGCCGGCCUGAGAGGGUGACCGGCCAAAUUGGAACUGAGAUACGGCCCAGACUCCUACGGGAGGCAGGAGUGGGGAAUAUUGCACAAUGGGAGGGAGACAAAUGCAACGAAGCCGCGUGGGGGAUGAGGGCCAUAGGGUUGUAAACCGCUUUCGCCUGAGACGGAGCGUAAGUGACGGUAAUGUAUAAAGAAGCACCGGCUAAAUACGUG
rnacentral:rRNA from 1 species